GAGGGCGGAGCUGCGUUCAGCCCCGUGAACGUGUCGCUGAGGGAGCAGAACAGAACCACGGAGGAGGUGCAGAGGAGGGUCUCGGCUCUGGAGGAGGUGCGCAGGCAGAUGCAGGAGGACCACGCCCAGCAGCUGUCCCUGCUCAUCGCCGAGCAGGAGAAGGAGCAGCAGCGCCUCCGGCAGGAGCUGGAGGAGAGGGAUUGGGAGCUGAGAGAGCGGGGGGGAGACCAGGCCCUGGGUGACAGUCUGAUCACCCCUGAGCCAUCUCCAGCGCACAGCAUCGG